rnacentral:tRNA from 1 species
ACCUGAGUGGCUCAGUUGGUUAAGCAUCUGACUUCAGCUCAGGUCAUGAUCUCAAGGUUCGUGAGUUCAAACCCCACAUCAAGCU